rnacentral:lncRNA from 1 species
AAGGUUUUAAUUUUUUUUCCUACCUUUAAAUCUGCAGCCAUAGUUAGUGUGAUUUAAAAUUCCUGUCAGGUUUUCUCAGUAAUCAUAAAAAUAGUGAUGUGAGUAGUUGAAAUAAAUAAUCCCAAAUAAUUUUAUCCUGAAGUACUCAUUCUCCAUCCAACAAAGUCUUUUGUUUUUUCAUCGAUUAUAGUUUUUGUCCUGCUGCAAAAUUUAUUGGCUUAGAUUUAAACUUCUUUAUUUUCUUGUAAAUUCUCUGAGAGCUGGGAAAGAACCUACAGGAUAGGGAAUGAAAUGCAGCCAAGGCCCUUUAAAAAAUCUGCACUGUAGAUGAACAAACUCUACAACUGAGAGUGGUACCUGUAUCACUGUGGCAGAUGUCCUGUUGCUCUUAGGACUCGUGGAAGAAUAGGCAGCAUGUAUUUAUUAAGGAAAAUCUGCUGUACAUACUCUUGUGCUGUAGUUUGAGCUAUUAAUCACAGAUUCUGUUUGGUUUUUGUAGAAUCACUUUAACUGUGACUGCUGAUAGAAAUAAAUGGAAGCAACCUGCUAUGUAAGCGUGAUUCAUGGUUAAAUCACUUUAAAAUUUGAAUGUUGACCCUAUAAUGGCUACUCUUGGGGGACAUUUUUGUAUCUUCAUUAGCUUCCACAGUUUUGUAUGAUGUUUUAACUCAGACAGUAAAAUGCAAGUAAAACCUGGUCUUCUAGCCUUGCAGUCUCAGGUGAAUACACUGUUUAGCUCACUGAAGAGAACUUUCAGAAAAGUUUAUUAUGAGUAAACAAAUUGUUCAUAACGUGAGAAUUGAGAACACAAUGAAAUUAAGGGAGUUUGUAAUGUAAAUAGCUACUGGGUGGUAGAGCUGUCUCUCUCACAUCACAGAAAUCAAUUUAGCUGGUGAGCUACAGUAAGAAUUGUUGCCCUUCUGAAUGAAAUCAUUUGGGGGUCAUUUUUAAUGUUUUGCUUGCUGUGUGUAGUUGCCUGCUAGAGUGCUGAAUCCACUUGACCUAACUUUCAGCUUUUGGGCUUUUAUUACAGUCCAGGGACUAACAAGGAGCCUUUGCUUCUCUGCAAGUUCAGGCCUAUGAUGUGGAUCCUGGCCACCUCUUAUACCACUGUUUGGGUAAAAACUGAGCAGGAAAUAUUCCUGUUUGAGAAUGUUACUCUUUACAAAAAGGCCUUGAAAUUUAUUAAGUGCUUUAUAGAUGAAAUUCACUAAUGUGACAAACAUUUAUAAAAUAUGUAUGAUGUAUAAGGCCCAGUGGUAGAGUGGGUGAUAGAUAAGAUAUAAUUCCCAUCUUUAAGAGAUUAGACAAAAAUAGCUGUAGUUAGCAUAACAAAUGUGAUUCAGUGAUUUAGUCAUGGUUUGAUAGUUAUUAAGCACCUACCACUAUGAAUCAGACACUGCUCGAUGCUGUAUUCAGAAGUGCUUCUUCAAGGACUCACAGUCAAAUGGCUGAACUUGGCAGACAAAAAUAUAACUGCGUGAAGACAUCAGUAGAAGUGGUAUAGAGGGGGAAGUCUGAGGAGGUGAGAACCCGUUCCUUGAGUCCUAGCAAUGUGUUAGCAGGCACGGUCCUAAGUCCUGGGAAUACAAGACCUCUGCCUUUACGGACCUUUGGCCUGAAUCUUGUGAGUUCAACAGAUGGACAAACAGAGGCCAUGUGAGACAGAGGAAACAACAUAUGUGGAGUCAUGGAAGUGGGAGACAUCAUGGCGUAUUUGGGGAAGUCAGUGAGAUUGAAUGCGACUGGGGCAGGGCACCUGAAGGAGGUGCAGAAUGGAACUGAAGUGUGUGGUCAGGUAUGGUAGGCAGAGUCCCAAAGGCUCUGCUUGGGACUCUGUUCUGGCUGGGUCCUGGCCCUUCUUUCCAGGCUCCUCUUCAACGACUGUCUCAGAGAAGUCUCUCCUGAGCACCCAUUGUAAAGGAACUGCCCAGUCACCUACCAACAUGCCACUUCCCUUUUGUUUAUUUAUAGAGUGUUCCUUAUUAGCUGACACUUUUGUUUAUGGUCUAUAUCCCAACACUUGACUAACGUUCCAUGAGAGCAUGAAUCUGGUCUGUGGUAUUGGUUGCUGUACCCCCAGCACCUAGAACCUAGCAUAAAGCUUGCAUUUAACAAAGGUUCAUAGAGUAAAUGUAGGUAUAGUUUUUUUUUUUUAUAUAUAUAUAGUUUUUUUUUUACUAUGAAUUUUGGAUUUUAUCAUGUGGACAAGCAGCUCUCAAUAUUGUUUCCCAGAUUCCUUUAUAUUUAAAAAUUAUUGGAGACCUCAAAGAGUUAUGGUUUUGUGGGUUAUGUCUAUUGAUAUUUAGGAUAUAAAAGAUAAAAACCUAGGCAUUAAAAAAAACACUUUAGGGAUCCCUGGGUGGCGCAGCGGUUUAGCGCCUGCCUUUGACCCAGGGCGCGAUCCUGGAGACCCGGGAUCGAAUCCCACGUCGGGCUCCCGGUGCAUGGAGCCUGCUUCUCUCUCUGCCUGUGUCUCUGCCUCUCUCUCUCUGUGUCUAUCAUGAAUAAAUAAAUAAAAAUAAAAAAAAAAA